rnacentral:misc_RNA from 1 species
GAAAUGCGAAAAGUAAUGUGAAUUGCAGAAUUCAGUGAACCAUCGAAUCUUUGAACGCACAUUGCGCCCGCCAGUAUUCUGGCGGGCAUGCCUGUCUGAGCGUCAUUUCAACCCUCAUACCCCCACGGGUGUGGUGUUGGGGAUCGGCCUAAGCCCUCUCGGGGGCGGGCCGGCCCCUAAAUCUAGUGGCGGACCCGUCGUGGCCUCCUCUGCGUAGUAGUAAUAUUCCGCAUGUGGAGAGCGUCGAGCCCCUGCCGUAAAACCCCAACUUCCAAGGUUGACCUCAGAUCAGGUAGGAAUACCCGCUGAACUUAA